rnacentral:rRNA from 1 species
UUAAGUGACUAAGCGUACAAGGUGGAUGCCUUGGCAAUCAGAGGCGAAGAAGGACGUGCUAAUCUGCGAAAAGCUUGGAUGAGUCGAUAAGAGGCGUUUAAUCCAAGAUGUCCGAAUGGGGAAACCCAGUAGAUGAAGAAUCUACUAUCACUUACUGAAUCCAUAGGUAAGUGAGGCAAACCGGGAGAACUGAAACAUCUAAGUACCCCGAGGAAAAGAAAUCAACCGAGAUUUCGUUAGUAGCGGCGAGCGAACGCGAAGGAGCCUGUUAGUGAUAAUGACAGAGACAGAGGAACAAGCUGGGAAGCUUGGCGAUACAGGGUGAUAGCCCCGUACUCGAAGUCCAGGUCAUGGUACUAAGCUAACGACAAGUAGGGCGGGACACGUGAUAUCCUGUUUGAAGAUGGGGGGACCAUCCUCCAAGGCUAAAUACUCCUGAUUGACCGAUAGUGAACCAGUACUGUGAAGGAAAGGCGAAAAGAACCCCGGUGAGGGGAGUGAAAUAGAACCUGAAACCUUGUACGUACAAGCAGUGGGAGCCCUUUAAGGGUGACUGCGUACCUUUUGUAUAAUGGGUCAGCGACUUAUAUUUUGUAGCGAGGUUAACCGAAUAGGGGAGCCGAAGGGAAACCGAGUCUUAACUGGGCGUCUAGUUGCAAGGUAUAGACCCGAAACCCGGUGAUCUAGCCAUGGGCAGGUUGAAGGUUGGGUAACACUAACUGGAGGACCGAACCGACUAAUGUUGAAAAAUUAGCGGAUGACUUGUGGCUGGGGGUGAAAGGCCAAUCAAACCGGGAGAUAGCUGGUUCUCCCCGAAAUCUAUUUAGGUAGAGCCUUGAGCGGACACCUUCGGGGGUAGAGCACUGUUUCGGCUAGGGGUCCAUCCCGGAUUACCAACCCGAUGCAAACUACGAAUACCGAAGAGUGAUACUCAGGAGACACACGGCGGGUGCUAACGUCCGUCGUGGAGAGGGAAACAACCCAGACCGCCAGCUAAGGUCCCAAAGUCUAUAUUAAGUGGGAAACGAAGUGGGAAGGCUUAGACAGCUAGGAUGUUGGCUUAGAAGCAGCCAUCAUUUAAAGAAAGCGUAAUAGCUCACUAGUCGAGUCGGCCUGCGCGGAAGAUGUAACGGGGCUCAAAUAUAGCACCGAAGCUGCGGCAUCAGUAGCAAUACUGUUGGGUAGGGGAGCGUUCUGUAAGCGGAUGAAGGUUAAUCGAGAGGUUAGCUGGACGUAUCAGAAGUGCGAAUGCUGACAUAAGUAACGAUAAAACGGGUGAAAAACCCGUUCGCCGGAAGACCAAGGGUUCCUGUCCAACGUUAAUCGGGGCAGGGUGAGUCGGCCCCUAAGGCGAGGCUGAAAAGCGUAGUCGAUGGGAAACGGGUUAAUAUUCCCGUACUUGGAUAAACUGCGAUGUGGGGACGGAGCAGGUUAGGUUAUCGCACUGUUGGAUAUGUGCGUUUAAGUUGGUAGGUGAGAAGUUUAGGCAAAUCCGGACUUCUAUAACACCGAGAGAUGAUGACGAGGCUCUACGGAGCUGAAGUAACCGAUACCACACUUCCAGGAAAAGCCACUAAGCUUCAGGUUUAUCUAAACCGUACUGAAAACCGACACAGGUGGUCAGGUAGAGAAUACUCAGGCGCUUGAGAGAACUCGGGUGAAGGAACUAGGCAAAAUAGCACCGUAACUUCGGGAGAAGGUGCGCCGGCGUAGAUUGUAGUCCCUUGCGGGCGAAGGUUGAACCGGUCGAAGAUACCAGCUGGCUGCAACUGUUUAUUAAAAACACAGCACUCUGCAAACACGAAAGUGGACGUAUAGGGUGUGAUGCCUGCCCGGUGCUGGAAGGUUAAUUGAUGGUGUAAUCGAAAGAGAAGCUCCUGAUCGAAGCCCCAGUAAACGGCGGCCGUAACUAUAACGGUCCUAAGGUAGCGAAAUUCCUUGUCGGGUAAGUUCCGACCUGCACGAAUGGCAUAAUGAUGGCCAGGCUGUCUCCACCCGAGACUCAGUGAAAUUGAAAUCGCCGUGAAGAUGCGGUGUACCCGCGGCUAGACGGAAAGACCCCGUGAACCUUUACUAUAGCUUGACACUGAACAUUGAAUUUUGAUGUGUAGGAUAGGUGGGAGACUUAGAAGUAGUCACGCCAGUGAUUAUGGAGUCGUCCUUGAAAUACCACCCUUUAACGUUUGAUGUUCUAACGAAGAUUACGAAACGUGGUCUCGGACAGUGUCUGGUGGGUAGUUUGACUGGGGCGGUCUCCUCCCAAAGAGUAACGGAGGAGCACGAAGGUUAGCUAAUCCUGGUCGGACAUCAGGAGGUUAGUG